GUGAUUGGUGUCAAUCAUUUUAAUAAUUAUCCCUAACCCUGAAAUUUCCAUCCCUAACUAUAACAUUUUCCGCCAAGUUGGAACUGCCAAAGGGGACGGGGUUGCAAUCUACUGCAGAGAUAGCCUGCAGAGUUCUGUCUUACUAUCCAGGUCAGUACCAAAACAAUUCGAGCUUCUACUUCUAAAAGUCCCCGUUCCAGAAGCAAGUCACUCACCAUUGCCGCUUGCUAUAGGCCACCCUCUGCCCCCAGCUGUGCCCUGGACACCAUAUGUGAAUUGAUUGCCCCAAUCUAUCUUCUGAGCUCGUGCUGCUAGAUGACCUAAACUGGGACAUGCUUAGCAGCAUUUUCACUUUUGGAAAAAUAGCAUGCCCAAUUUCAACUUCCUGCUACUCAUGCCAAGAAUAUAAGAUAUGCAUAUUAUUAGUUGAUUUGGAUAGAAAGCACUCUGAAGUUUCUAAAACUGUUUGAAUCAUGUCUGUGAGUAGAACAGAACUUAUGUUGCAGGCAAAACCCCGAGGACUAACCGUUCAGAUUUUUUUUUUUUUUUUUUUGAGGUCUCUGCCUGUUCAGUGAGUACUCAUUGGGAAAUACUUGAAAAGUAGCAUUAGUUUCCUCUCGUCCUCUAUUGAAAACAGAUAGACCAGUCUUCAAUUUGAUAGAUUAUUGAUGUUUAAAAAUACCUAAAGUUGUAUUACAAAAGUAGUUUGAAUUGUUUUGGCAAAGUUUACAGGCAACUUGGGAUAUUUUGUAGUGACGUUGCGCAAUUUGGAAGCUGUUUUUUCCUGGAUCAAACACACCAAAUAAAUUGACAUAUAGGAUAUAUAUGGAUGGAAUUAAUCGAACAAAAGGACCAAUUGUGAUGUUUAUGGGACAUAUUGGAGUGCCAACAAAAGAAGCUCGUCAAAGGUAAGGCAUGUUUUAUUUCUGCGUUUUGUGUAGCGCCUGCAGGGUUGAAAUAUGCUACUCUUUGUUUACUGUUGUGCUAUCAUCAGAUAAUAGCUUCUUAUGCUUUUGCCAAAAAGCCUUUUAAAAAUCUGACAUGUUGGCUGGAUUCACAACGAGUGUAGCUCUAAUUUAGUAUCUUAC
ensembl:lncRNA